GGCGUGCCUAAUACAUGCAAGUGGGACGCAAGGGAACACACUGUGCUUGCACACCGUGUUUUCUUGAGUCGCGAACGGGUGAGUAACGCGUAGGUAACCUGCCUAUUAGCGGGGAUAACUAUUGGAAACGAUAGCUAAUACCGCAUAAUAUUAAUUAUUGCAUGAUAAUUGAUUGAAAGAUGCAAGCGCAUCACUAGUAGAUGGACCUGCGUUGUAUUGGCUAGUUGGUAAGGUAAGAGCUUACCAAGGCGACGAUACAUAGCCGACCUGAGAGGGUGAUCGGCCACACUGGGACUGAGACACGGCCCAGACUCCUACGGGAGGCAGCAGUAGGGAAUCUUCGGCAAUGGACGAAAGUCUGACCGAGCAACGCCGCGUGAGUGAAGAAGGUUUUCGGAUCGUAAAGCUCUGUUGUAAGUCAAGAACGUGUGUGAGAGUGGAAAGUUCACACAGUGACGGUAGCUUACCAGAAAGGGACGGCUAACUAC
rnacentral:rRNA from 1 species